GAUGAACGCUGGCGGCGUGCUUAACACAUGCAAGUCGAGCGAGUGAGUUCUUCGGAACAAUCUAGCGGCGGACGGGUGAGUAACACGUGGGCAACCUGCCUCAUAGAGGGGAAUAGCCUCCCGAAAGGGAGAUUAAUACCGCAUAAAAUUAUCGAGUGGCAUCACAUGAUAAUCAAAGGAGUAAUCCGCUAUGAGAUGGCCCGCGGCGCAUUAGCUAGUUGGUGAGGUAACGGCUCACCAAGGCGACGAUGCGUAGCCGACCUGGGAGGGUGAUCGGCCACAUUGGGACUGAGACACGGCCCAGACUCCUACGGGAGGCAGCAGUGGGGGAUAUUGCACAAUGGGGGAAACCCUGAUGCAGCAACGCCGCGUGAAUGAUGAAGGUCUUCGGAUUGUAAAGCUCUGUCUUUGGGGACGAUAAUGACGGUACCCAAGGAGGAAGCCACGGCUAACUACGUGCCAGCCGCCGCAGUAA
rnacentral:rRNA from 1 species